GACGAACGCUGGCGGCGUGCCUAAUACAUGCAAGUCGAACGCAGUGGGGACGGGUGAGGAACACGUGGGUAACCUCCCAUCAGAGGGGAUAACACUUGGAAACAGGUGCUAAACCGAUACAGAUGGCUGGACACGCGGUGCAUUAGCUAGUUGGUGAGGUAACGGCUCACCAAGGCCACGAUGACUAGCCGCCCUGAGAGGGUGAUCGGCCACCCUGUGACUGAGCCACGGCCCAGACUCCGCCGGGAGGCAGCAGUAGGGAAUCUUCUGCAAUGGACGAAAGCCUGACCGCGCAACGCCGCGUGAGUGAAGAGGUUUUUCGGAUCGUAAAACUCUGUUGUUAGAGAAGCGGUAUCUAACCAGAAAGCCACGGCUAACUACGUGCCAGCCGCCGCGGUAAUAC
rnacentral:rRNA from 1 species